rnacentral:rRNA from 1 species
CCCGAGAUGAGUUCUCCCUGACCCUUUAAGGGUCCUGAAGGAACGUUGAAGACGACGACGUUGAUAGGCCGGGUGUGUAAGCGCAGCGAUGCGUUGAGCUAACCGGUACUAAUGAACCGUGAGGCUUAACCUUACAACGCCGAAGGUGUUU